rnacentral:snRNA from 1 species
GUGCUCAUUUCAGCAGCAUAUAUGCUAAAAUUGGAAUGAUGCAGUGAAAAUUAGCAUGUUCCCCACACAAGGAUGGCACACAGAUUUAUGAAGCAUUCCAAAUUUUU